AUGCCAAAAAUUAUCAACAUAUAUAGAAUAAGAGCGAGUUGGUCUGAGGCUCUUGUUUUCGUCGACCCUCGUUUUCGUCGGCCCUCGUGCUGUUCCGCGCGUGCCAUCGUCGUCCUCACGUGACCUUUAGUUCUCGUUUGUUUAGCACCUUGCACUGGCUUCUCCUCUCUUCUCGUUGUCAUUCUCUCUAUUUCUCUUUUCCUCUUCCUCUAGGGUUAGAUACAUUCUCAGACUUUGUUUCCUCCUCCGCCGCCGCAUCGUCUCCCUCUCCUCUCCUCUUCUAUAUCGGCUCGUUCUCUACCGUUUCUUCUUCUGUUUUCUUAUUUUUUAGUUUUCCCGUCUUUUUCUUUUCUCGUCUCUGCAUCCGUUCACUCCUCCUCCUCCUUCUCCACCGCCACACCGUCUCCUUCUCCUUAUCUGUUAUUUCUAUUUCUCUUCUCUCCUCUAGGGUUAGAUGCAACUUCAGAGUCUGUCCCUCUAUUUCUUGUCUCCUCCUCCGCCGACACACUGUCUCCGUGUCCUUUUCUAUCGGCUUCUUCUCUACCCAAUAUCAGAGAUCUAUUUUGCUCAACCAGCCCUAGGAUUCCCCCCCUUCGCCUUCCUCCGCUUUUUUUAACCGUUUUUUCUUCUGUUUUUCCCAUUUUUUUCCUUUUUCCGCUUUUUCAUCCGUUCACUCCUCCUCCUCCUCCACCACUACACCGGCUCCCUCUCCUUUAUCGGCUCCUUCUAUUCUACGCCCAGGAUUAUGGGUUUCCCUUCUCCUACCAGUCCUAGGAUUUCUCUUCUGCCUCCCUCCUGUUCAGGUUCAUUCUCGCCGGAUCCUCUCUCAGCCAUUGGGAGCACUUUGAAAUCCGCUGCAAGCUCUUCACUAUCCUCGGCAUCUCUUACUGCAUUAUUUUGAAGUAUUUGCUUCUGUGAAACGUUGAAGAAAAAGUUAAAGAUAUGUUGACUACAACUCGGUUUCAAAUUAUAUGUAAUUGGAUUUUUUUAUUUGUUAUUUGUAAUAUAUUAAAAAUUAAUUGCUUCCUGAUUAUUUUGUCAUGCCUUGAGUAGAUUGAGGCAAUUUUCAGCAACAACAAGGUGUACAAUGCGGAGAUGAUUGUUGUGAUGGCCAGUCGAAGUUCAAAUUACUGCUUGUUCAACAAGCCUUUGCAGACUUGGAGAGGGGCCGUGGAUAUCUUGUUCCAGACGAUGUCUACAAGGUUAUAGUACUGUUUACUAUGAUUGUUAGGUAGUUUUGAUCAGAAGAGGAGUGGAAGAUUCAGACUGGAUGGCUUCAUAUCACUCUGUAUAUUUGUACAGUCUGCGCGGUUUUGACAAAUGCUGUUUUAUAUCCUGUAAAUGAUGUUCUUCUGCGUUUGGUUCUUUCUGCAAGAUGUUACUUUUACUUCGGUGUGUUGUGUACCAAGGCAUCUUUAUAAGUUACUUGUAAUGCUGAACUGAGUGCUCAUGUGGCUAAGCAGUAAAGAGGAAGGAAUCUACUGUCCCGUGUUAGGCAUGCAUGUCGUUGGAUUAUGAGUACAGUUUCGUUGGAUAUUUUUUAGUUAAUGUGUAUUAUGUAAUUAUAGUUGUUGGAGGACUCAAGCACAGAAAUUAUGUAAUAGCUAGGUUGUUACUAUUGUUUAUCGCUUCAAGCUUUGAUAAUGGACUUAUCAAGCUUUAAUAAUGAAUGUACUUCGGUUACCUUAGUUUGAUGUUAAGCUUUGAUAGUAGAUGUUUGAACGGAAUGUACUUAUUAGCUUUUGAUGUUUAGCAAUAAAGUUCAUGCUAACUUUGGUUA